UUUGGCAGUUGGCCCAGCUGGGAUCGGCUGUUGAUAGUGCUCGUUGAUUUGUCUCCCAUCUCAUUCUCUCAUCAUCUUCUCUCCUGAACGCCACGCGAAGUCUCGUCUGUGCUGCUGUGGAGUCAAUCAACAUGUUCAGCUGGUCGCUUCGCGUUUUGCUGCCGCUAUUGUUGUUGCAGAUGUGCCGGCCACUGAGAGGGUCUAGAGACACGAGUGGACCACUGACACAAACCCAAGCUCAUGGAACUUUAACUUUGGCUGAUGAGGAAUGGCAGCCUGUGCCUUGGGUGCAGGCCAAACAGUAUACAGGACACAACAUCAUAGCUGCAGUGUCGGGAAACACAUACUACAUUACAUUGACAGAUGUUGGUAGACCAGGAAAAACGGGAAUGGAGGAAACUGUGGACACGCCACACAACUGCCUCUAUACCGGUCACUUGUACAAUUCUUCAUUUCAAGCAAUGAUCAGCCUGUGUCCUUUAGUGUAUGGGUUUUUUGAAACAGAAGAAGUAAUAUUUCUUAUUGAACCAUUCCCUCGUUACCACAGCUACAAGGAGCUUGUCAAUGCCACCAUCUCAGUUAUCAUUCAUCACCAUGUUACUCAUCAUUUAGAUUUGUCUUCAGCUAAUUCAUCUACUCGAACGGGGCGACGAGCAACAUUGACUCUACCAAUUACAAUCAAGCUGAUGGUAACACCAGGUCGUUAUCUCAGUGACUCACAUCGAAUCUACUCAUCAUACAUUGGUGAUUACCUUCUGACAGUAAUUGCUAUAGUAAAUAGCCUAUUUCGAGAUCCAACAUUGGGUAGUCGUGUUGUGAUUGCUGUAACGAAAGAAGACACAAACGCUUUUGAUGUGAAUUAUGGUGACGAUGUCGGAUCAAUAUUGCAUCGCUAUUGCGAAUAUCAGAAUAACCAGAGAAACCUAAGUGAAAGUGACUACGACAUGGCGAUACUGUUUGUGGGUUACACUGCCCCAGAAGUUCGAUGGAAUGAUGAGACAGGUUUAACAUACAGUCAUGAAGUGUGCAAUAACGAGACCAGCUGUGGAGUUGUACGAGACAUAGGAAUGAAUUCAGCAUUUAUCGUAGCCCGUAUGAUUGGUCUCUGGCUUGGUCUCUCAAUGGAUGGACUUAGAGAUAACAACUGUUCACAGAUUAAUAGACGAUCAGGAAUUAUGUCUCCAUUUUUGGAUAGGACUAAUUUGUGGUCGUGGUCAUCAUGUAGUAAAGCAGAGCUGCAAGCCAUUCUAAGUCAAACAACAGCCACACACGAUCCGAUUUUGUGUUUACGAGACAAAGCAUCGGGUCAUUUUGGACUAUUGCCACGGCAUCCUGCGGCUUUUCGAAAUACUUUGCAUCGUCACUGUGUUAUGAGAUAUCAUCUCUCUGCACGUGCAUGCUAUGACAACACGACAAGAGAUUGUAAAGAGAUGAGGUGUUCAAUUUAUAAUAGACCAUGCUCAUCUCCUAUCUAUUUGGUUCACUGGCCAGAUGAAACACCAUGUGGAAACACAUCUUCUAAAAUAAAAAUGUUUUGUUACCAACGAGAGUGUCUCAACAGGUCAGCAAUCAAGGAGCUAAAGAGACUGAAGGCAGUUUACUCCGAGUGGUCUGAGUGGUCAGAAUGUUCACGUUCAUGUGGAGGAGGAAUACAAAUUUCAAAAAGAACAUGCACAGGAGGACUCGGUGACUGCAGAAACAAGCAAACUGAUAUUCGUGCAGAAUCUUGUAAUUUAGAGGAUUGUCCUUAUUCUAAACAAUCAUUCCGAGAAGAGCAAUGCAGUAAAUACAAUGCAGGUAACAUUACCUGGUAUCCUGUGUACAAAAGAGGUAAUCAGGAAGAAUGCAAACUGCACUGUGAAACUAAAGGAGGCAUUCAACUUCAUAAAACUGUCAUUGUGAUUGAUGGAACUCGAUGUAAUGCCAAUUCGUUUGAUGUCUGUGUUCAAGGAUCAUGCAAGCCUGCAGGUUGUGAUCAUCGCGUCAUGGCAACCAGUGUACUGGACAAAUGUGGUGUAUGUCGUGGAAAUGGAUCAAGUUGCAUUCUAAAUAAAGGACACACAGCAGGAGAUAAGAGAAAUUUCAUAAAAACAAAAUACGUUACAGUUCUCACUGUUCCAGCUGGAUCAUCAGGAAUCGACAUAUUGAAGAGAGAGAGAGGCACAAGUGACCCUCAUUGCUUUCUUGCUGUUCAUGAAACUGUUGGAAGAGUAUUGUUUAAAGUGAAGGAAGGCAUGAAGACUGCUGUUUUCUAUGGAGCAGGGUUGCUGUGGACAUACAGACCACUAAUAUUUACAAGUCGACAACGUCUGACUGUGUAUGGUGCUCUCACUACUGCAGUUACUAUCAAAAUGCGAUGCUCACGCCAGGCAAAGGAAUACGAUGUGACCUGGUCAUACUACAAACGAUUGCCACCAUUUGAUGUGUUUGAAUGGCAUCUCAAUAGAAACUGUUCAAGAGAAUACCGAGGAAAACGUCUCCCAACCUGGGAAUGUUAUCGUUUACCUCAUCGAGAUCUUGUCAAUGAGACCAACUGUAGUCAGUUGCCCAAACCAUCAAGUCUCGUUUCAUACGAUUCGUGCAAUCCAGAUUAUGAUUACGUGUGGCAGAUCAAUCGUAUUUGUCCUUCUUCACUUGACUGUGGUGAUGGUUCAGUGGCUGUGGUCAUUGAAUACAAGUGCUUCAGACUGUCUCUACAGUCACAUCAACUUAGUGUUGAUCCUGUAGAUGAUGAAGCAUGUAGCCAGCCAAAACCAGACAAUGACUGGGUGCUUUGUGACCGAAUUCCAUGUGGCAGUCACCAUGGCCACAUUGGAAUAAUGCAGUUGUCAAUACAGUCAAAGCAGUGCACAACUUCUUGUGGUGUUGGUUACAAGCCUAGUAUGUGUAAAUUUAUUCCCGUUCGCAAAUUGACGAAGGGUGACAUUCGCUGUUGGUCUCAAUCAGAAGACUCACUGCAACGCAUGCCAUGCAGUGGCAAUGUUUGUCCACAGAAUGAAAGCGCAUCGUCAUGUGCUGCUUGGCAGCGGAAAGGAUUCAGAGAUGAUGGAGAGUACACAAUCAACAAGCAAGGAAAAAUACUACAGCUCUAUUGUUAUGGUAUGGCAAAGGGUAAUCCACUAGAGUAUCUCACUCUGCCUUCUGGUCCAUCAAAGAACUUUGGACAUAUUUACAGUUACCAGUGGAACAAAGCUAUAGCUCCUUGUCCAGUUAACUACACCAGACUAAAUUUUAUAAACUAUACUGAUAGAGGUUCAUCUCAAUUCUCAAAAGUUCGCAUUCAUCUGAACUCCAUGGAGAUACAGACUGAUGAUUUUACCUUUGCUGAGACUGCUGGGUCAAUACCCGAGUUUGGAAUGGCUGGUGGUUGUUUUGUUACAUCUAACUGUACUGGAGUUACACCAAAUGGGUACUUCAGUGUCGAUCUUCAAGGAACAGGACUGGAAGUAUCAGAUCUUAACCAGUGGCAUGUGAAUAUGACCAAGGGGCCACAAACUUACAUGCCCAUGCUUAGUGUGGGAUCAACACCGGUCUCAUUUCAAGUAGUCACAGGUUGGUGUGGCUUGUGUUCUAAAUGCUUCAUCGCUGGCCAAAGACUCAAAGUCAACUUCGUUGUACCAAUGUGAAUCUGACACUGUUAGCCAAGACAGUGCCCUUCUGGAACACAGUCACAAGACGAAUAUUUUGCAGAAAGGUGUAGCUGCACUGCUUGAUUUGGGGUGUAGAAGAUAUUCUGAUGCCAAAGUGCAUACGUUGAAUAUCUGGAUGCCAGGUAGUUUGGAUUGGUCGAUUCUACUUCGUGUUCAGUUCUUUACGUAUAGGUAUCACUCUAUCUAGCUGCUAUUUAGUGGUGUGGUAGCAAUUCAUUUCAUAAUAAUGUCUAACGUGUAUAUACAUACUAUGAAGGAAGAGAUUCAAGGCAAGGACAGGCAACUGCAUGUUCUUAUAUAUUAAUUGUUACAGACAUGUAUACGUAUAAUAUGUUGAAUGCAUAUCUAUCUACCUGUGAGACAGGUUUACAUUGCAAACACUUCUCUUCCGUCAGAUAAUG